rnacentral:rRNA from 1 species
CCACGCCGUAAACUAUGAUUACUCGGAGUUUGAAAUUAAUUUAAGCUCCCAAGCGAAAGCGAUAAGUAAUCCACCUGGGGAGUACGUCGGCAACGAUGAAACUCAAAGGAAUUGACGGGGGCCCGCACAAGCGGAGGAACAUGUGGUUUAAUUCGAUGAUACGCGAGGAACCUUACCCGGGAUUGAAAUGUAGGAGUUAGAUGAUGAGAGUCAUUGUCCCUUCGGGGCUCCUAUGUAGGUGCUGCAUGGUUGU